UGAGGAAUAUUGGUCAAUGGGCGGAAGCCUGAACCAGCCAUGCCGCGUGCAGGAAGGAGGCCCUACGGGUUGUAAACUGCUUUUACCCGGGAAGAAACCGCCCCCUGUGGGGGGCGUUGCCGGUACCGGGGGAAAAAGGAUCGGCUAACUCCGUGCCAGCAGCCGCGGUAAUACGGAGGAUCCGGGCGUUAUCCGGAAUUACUGGGUUUAAAGGGUGCGUAGGCGGGGCUUUAAGCCGGCGGUGAAAUGCAGCGGCUCAACCGGUGGAAUGCCGUUGGGACUGGGGUGCGUGG
rnacentral:rRNA from 1 species